rnacentral:rRNA from 1 species
AGUGAACGCUGGCGGUAGGCCUAACACAUGCAAGUCGAACGGCAGCACAGUAAGAGCUUGCUCUUACGGGUGGCGAGUGGCGGACGGGUGAGGAAUACAUCGGAAUCUACUUUUUCGUGGGGGAUUACGUAGGGAAACUUCCGCUAAUACCGCAUACUAUCUACGGGUGAAAGCAGGGGAUCUUCGGACCUUUCGCGAUUGAAUGAGCCGAUGUCGGAUUAGCUAGUUGGCGGGGUAAAGGCCCACCAAGGCGACGAUCCGUAGCUGGUCUGAGAGGAUGAUCAGCCACACUGGAACUGAGACACGGUCCAGACUCCUACGGGAGGCAGCAGUGGGGAAUAUUGGACAAUGGGCGCAAGCCUGAUCCAGCCAUACCGCGUGGGUGAAGAAGGCCUUCGGGUUGUAAAGCCCUGUUGUUGGGAAAGAAAAGCAGCAGGUUAAUACCCCGCUGUUCUGACGGUACCCAAAGAAUAAGCACCGGCUAACUUCGUG